UGUGAGAGGAGGGGGGUGGAGGAAGGAGAGAGGGGAAAAAAAAGUUUCCUGUAAGAAUUGUAUAUUUUUUUGCUAACUGAAUGCACAAAAUGAAAUUAUUGUACUGUAAUUUUUUAACCGAAAUAAACCAUUCAUUCAUUCGUAAACCGUUCAUUCAUUCAUUCAUUCAGCUACAGUAACGUAGGUCACUGUUUUAUAUGUGAUAUGCUCCAGUUGUGAAGAAGCGUACUAGUUACAAAGCUGACUUUCACGCUUACCUGUACAGUUUAGCUCGACUUUUGGAUGCUAACAUUGUUAGCAGCAGCAUCGGUAAACAGCAGAAGCCGGUAAAUGUGGGCGGGACAGAGUCCUCGGCUUUUAGUCAGUCUGACCAAUCGCUGCUCUCCGGCUCCGCCCUCUGAGAAUCUUUUUUCUUCUCUGGCUCAUAGACUGUAUAUAAAGAUGGACGUAGCACCCGUGACAUCACCCAUUGGUUUCUGCACUGAGAAAAUAAAGCCUCUUCCUGGUUGACAUCUUGGAUUUUUGGAGCCAGUGAUGACAACAACAUUCUCAGAAGGCGGAGCCGGAGAGCAGUGAUUGGUCAGACUGACUGCGAGCCGAGGACUCUCUGUCCCGUCCACAUCUACCGGCUUCUACUUUUUACUGACGCUGCUGCUAACAACGUUAGCCUCCAAAAGUGAAGAUAAACUCUACAACCUUGGUCUGGAUCAUUGGGAACAUCUUGUCUGAUGGACUGAAGCUCCAGAAAACAUGAACAUCCAGCUGUGGUUGUCUGAAGAGUCUUUUCUCCUUCAUCACUGUGAGGAAGAGCAGCACCAAUGUCCUUCUCAUAAGAAUAACAAUAAUGCAGCAGAUUCAACUUCUCUCUUCAUAAUACAACUUGUCUUGUGACUGUUCAGGAUUUGCACUUCACUGUCAGCAACACAUUAUUUCAUCCAUUUAUUACGUGUUUACACAUCUUUACAGUUCAGAAUUGUUAAAUAAUGUAGUUUUGAAAUGUGCAAUAAAGGAAAUAAUGAAGCUCC